rnacentral:rRNA from 1 species
GACGAACGCUGGCGGCGUGCUUAACACAUGCAAGUCGAACGGAAAGGCCCCUGCUUGCAGGGGUGCUCGAGUGGCGAACGGGUGAGUAACACGUGGGUGAUCUGCCUUGUACUCUGGGAUAAGCUUGGGAAACUGGGUCUAAUACCGGAUAGGAACUGCCUUUAGUGUGGUGGUUGGAAAGUUUUUUCGGUGCAAGAUGAGCUCGCGGCCUAUCAGCUUGUUGGUGGGGUAAUGGCCUACCAAGGCGUCGACGGGUAGCCGGCCUGAGAGGGUGUACGGCCACAUUGGGACUGAGAUACGGCCCAGACUCCUACGGGAGGCAGCAGUGGGGAAUAUUGCACAAUGGGCGGAAGCCUGAUGCAGCGACGCCGCGUGGGGGAUGACGGCCUUCGGGUUGUAAACUCCUUUCGACAGGGACGAAGCUUUUUGUGACGGUACCUGUAUAAGAAGCACCGGCUAACUACGUGCCAGCAGCCGCGGUAAUACGUAGGGUGCGAGCGUUGUCCGGAAUUACUGGGCGUAAAGAGCUCGUAGGUGGUUUGUCGCGUCGUCUGUGAAAUUCCGGGGCUUAACUCCGGGCGUGCAGGCGAUACGGGCAUAACUUGAGUGCUGUAGGGGAGACUGGAAUUCCUGAUGUAGCGGUGAAAUGCGCAGAUAUCAGGAGGAACACCGAUGGCGAACGCAGGUCUCUGGGCAAUUAACUGACGCUGAAGAACGAAAGCAUGGGGUACCAAACAGGAUUAGAUACCCUGGUCCUCCAUGCCAUAAACGGUGGGCGCUAGGUGUAGGGGGCUUCCACGUCUUCUGUGCCGUAGCUAACGCAUUAACCGCCCCGCCUGGGGAGUACGGCCACAAUGCUAAAACUCAAAGGAAUUGACGGGCGCCCGCACAAGCGGCGGAGCAUGUGGAUUAAUUCGAUGCAACGCGAAGAACCUUGCCUUGGCUUGACAUACACCAGAUCUCUGCAGAGACGUAGUUUCCCUUGUGGUUGGUGUACAGGUGGUGCAUGGUUGUCGUCAGCUCUUGUCGUGAGAUGUUGGGUUAAGUCGCGCAACGAGCGCAACCCUUGUCUCAUGUUGCCAGCAUUUUAGUAGGGGACUCAUGAGAGACUGCCGGGGUUAACUCGGAGGAAGGUGGGGAUGACGUCAAAUCAUCAUGCCCCUUAUGUCCAGGGCUUCACACAUGCUACAAUGGUAGGUACAACGAGCAGCGACACUGUGAGGUGGAGCGAAUCGCUGAAAGCCGGUCUUACUUCGGAUUGGGGUGUGCAACUCGACCCCAUGAAGUCGGAGUCGCUAGUAAUCGUAGAUCAGCAAUGAUGCGGUGAAUACGUUCCCGGGCCU